rnacentral:rRNA from 1 species
GACGAACGCUGGCGGCGUGCUUAACACAUGCAAGUCGAACGGAAAGGCCCUGCUCUUGUUGGGUGCUCGAGUGGCGAACGGGUGAGUAACACGCGAGUAACCUGCCCUUGUAUUUGGGAUAACUUCAGGAAAAUGGGGCUAUUAUCGGAUAGGAGCUCUUGCUGCACGGUGGGGGUUGGAAAGUUUCGGCGGUUGGGGCUGGUGUCGCGGCUUAUCAUCUUGUUGGUGGGGUAGUGGCUUACCAAGGUUUUGACGGGUAGCCGGCCUGAGAGGGUGACCGGCCACAGAGUGACUGAGAUGGGACCCGUACGCCAACUGGAGGCAGGGGUGAAGAAUAUAGCACGAAGGGCGGAGGCCGUAAUGAAGAACGCCGCGUGCGAGAUGACUGCUAUCGGGGUAGAAACCGCUUUCACCUGUGACGAAGCGUGAGGAACGGAAAUGGGUAGAAAGCACCGGCUAACUACGUG